GUUAAAAUAUUUCCAUCACCCAAAGAGUAUCCCAUCUUGUGCUUCCUCAUAGUAUCUAUAUGAUUAGUGCCUUUGUAAUUUAUUGUAUUGCAUAAAUUUAUGUAGGUAUUUGUGAAGCUUAUAUCAUGCAAUGCAGUUUUUAAAUAAAAUUUCAUAUGCUAUAGUUAUUAAAGUGAACUGAUUGCAGAUGUUGUGACAGAGUUCAUUGACAGAGUUCUGCCAAGUUUUGUCGCGGGUUGCCAUAUCCAGCUCGUUUUCCUGAGGUGAUCCAUUUUUAGGGAUUUCCUUUUAUGAAUUGUGUGAUCAUCUCAUUUCAAAGUUUAACUAUUAAAGAAGAGAGACAUUUAUUUAUUUAUUUUAGGUCGUAAACACAUCCUCUCAUAUGUGGUCUAAUUAUUUUUCUUGAAUCAAUCAUGUGGAAACAUUUCUGUUGAUGGGUUUGAGAGUUGGACUUAGGACGUCUGCCUAUCUUGAUAUCAAUGCGUGUUGAAUUGUGUGAUAAAAACUUAAUCUAUUACAGAGGAAGCACUUAUAUUAUUUGUUUUAGGUUGUCAAUUUGUUCGCUGUUUUUAUUUAUCCUGUUGCCUUACUAAGAUGGUAGUUUUCCGAAAUCCACUGUAACAUUUUCUCCUGUAUACCCUAAGACAUGUUAAGGUUGUCUUGUGUGAUGAUAUUUUAUAUUUCAGAUGCAAAUUUGAACAAAAUUGCAGUCAUAUCAGGUCAACUUGGAUUAUACCUGAUGUCUCUAUUUCAAUUCUAGAACAGGAGUGUCGCUAAAUUAAUAUUCUCAUGGAGCUUCACAUAUUAUUCUAAUUUGUAUAAUGGCAAAAUUAGAAAUUGCAUUUUCAUGAGUUGCCCAGUGCCCUUUGUGCAUUCCUUUCUCGCCUCACAUGAGUGAAGUUUCUGCUAGUGAUUCCACUUAUAACUAAAUAAGCCUUUAAGGAGUCCAGGAAUUCUUAUGAAUAAUUAUUCAGGAAUAUGCGUGACUAAACAGUUGCUCAGGAAUCUCUAACCUAAAUUUGGCACAUAACCUUGGAAUCUGGUUCUAACCAAAGUCCAGUUUAACGUUGUCUUGAAAAUUUUCUAAUUUAGGUGGUGAAAAUGGCCAUGAACCUGCCCGUGCUGGAUUUCUUUGGGAAAAUGGAUGCUGAUUGCAGCUAUUUGUAGUGAUGUUUCUGCCCCUUCAAAUGUUGAUUCAAUUCUUGAUGUAUGAUUACCUGUUUGAUUGACACAACAGCCUACUUGUUUUUCUUUGUUGGUGCCUAAAUAACCUGAUUCAACUUUAGGAUAUAAGAGCUGUUACAGGUCCCAUGGACUGCCAUGUGAUUGUCAAGCUUGUUGGUUCGUGGAAUACUGUUAAGGACACAGGCAGAAUUUCAACAUAGCUUCUUACUAGUCCUGUACCUGCAAGGUCUGACAAAUGAUUCAAAUCAUAUGGCUUGAAGCAACGAAUCUGCCUGAGGAUGUGUUUUACCAUAUUUGCUUAAACUUUAAAUUUGAAUCCUCCUCCUCUUGGCUAAGUCUCACUAGUCUUUUUUUAUUGAGCCUAGUGGUGGAUUUUCUAAGACACAACACUCCACAUCAAUUACAAAAGAAUCAUUUCCUGAUGAAAAAUACAGUUUUCUCCACUUACUAUGGGGAGAGAAGGAACAAGUCAUAUGGGAAAAGUAGUGACGGCAACAGGGAAGGAAGCGAGGGUGGCAGAGUUCCUAGCGGGCUGUAGAUUCUUUUUAAGUGUUGCAAUUGGAUGGGAGGAGGAAAGAAAAGAUAAUAGUACUUUGUCUCCUUUUGCUUUGUUGGGGUGGACCAAAACUUUCCACAAAAUGUAUCUGCAAGGAGAUUGUCACUGUUGUAACACUGAUGUAUUAUUGGUCUGCGGGUGUUUUUAUUAAGUGUCACAAAUAAUAAGGGCAGGAUGGAGUAAUGUUUUACAGGUUUCAAUAAUGCUGGUUAUAUUAGAGCUUCACAUAAUCAUAAAAUUAUUCUCAAUGCUGCUGUCUACUGUCUCUUUCUAUCAAAAAUCGAGUCGGCCCCAACAAUUGAGCUAACUGGCCAAAUCCUUGAGGCAGCUAUUGAAGCAGCACAACUAAAUAUCAGGGAUACUUUCAGUGGAUAGCAAUGUCGGUGAUGGUGAUUGUGGUUCAACUAUGUUCAGGGGUGCAGUGGCUAUUCUUGAAGACAUGAAGAAACCCUCCUAUGGAAUCGGACAAUGAAAUUGGAUCUUCUACUUGAAGAGUAAUUGGGCGAACAAGUGAUAUAACAUACCCUUCAAAGAAGCAUAUGCGAAGUUGAAAGCAGACAGCGAGUCUGUUCUCACAGUUCUACAAUGGUUGGUGGGUACAAGUGGACAACUUGGUCAACGGAAAGCAGGAAGCAAGAACAGUGUCAGAAAUGGGAAACAGUAAUAGAUGACAGGUGUUUGAGACAAGGUGGGUUGCUCUGAUCGUAAGCACCCUCCACUUCCAACCAAGAGAUUGUGAGUUCGAGUCACCCUAAG